GUGCUUGCUUUGGCAGCACAUGUCCUAAAAUUGGAUACAGAGAAGAUUAGCAUGGCCCCUGUGCAAGUAUGGCACAAAUUCGAGAAGCAUUCCAUAAAAAA
ensembl:snRNA U6 U6 spliceosomal RNA